UGAUGUCGCUCCAAUCGAUAAACCUAACCAGUUUUUCGAGGAUGCUCAAUUUGGACUCUCUCAAUCGGUGGAGAAGACCUGAGCUGAUCUUUGCUUCAUAAACUUCGUUUGUCUUCAGUUUUGCCUCUCGGGCUGCUCCGUAUGCAGCCUGAGAAGAAUGCCUGCAGACGAUACCCAGGGCUGAAAAGAGCAGUGGGAGUAGCUGCUCAGACUUUGUCCCAGCGCCAGGAAGUCGCCGUCACACUGCCGACGCUGCGACGAGCCGAGGAGCUGCAGCUUCACACCAGUCAGUGAGUACAAACAGACAGUCUUGUUUGCCAGCAGGGACAGGUGGUGUCUCCUCCGAGUGUGACAACACACUGCAGGCGAUCUGGGAACAGCUCAGUCGCUAAGCAUUUAAUAAACCAGAGGCCCGAAACUCGGAGCAGGUCCAGGUCAGCUGGUCUCCGCCGAGUCCGCCAUCGUAACUGGAGUCACGAGGUUGGUUAUUAACUGGCUUUAUGGAUGGGAUCCUUCUGAUUACACCUGAAGCCGAAACCGAUCGGAAGACGACGAACCGAAUAAAGCAGCAAUCGCUGGUGUUAAUUCACCGAACCGGACUGAGGCGGCUUCGGGCCGAACCACCGGCGACUUGAUUCUUUCUUUACAUUUCAGAUUGAAACGGUGCCUUCAGGUGUCACGUCAGGCUGUCGGGAUAUUAGAGUACUCGGACUCCAGCUGCUGACAGAUAAAAUCCCUCAUCAUGAAGUCUUCAUCAUCAUCAUCAUCGGUGACCUCUGCCUCAGCGACGGCUGGACUAGACGCUCAGCUCCUCUCCUCUCUGCAGAGUCCAGGGCUGCAAGCGGAGUUUCUGGAAGAGGGUCGGAGCAAGUCUCAGUCUGGCAGCGACUUCGGUGAAUCCGGGGUCCCUUCCCCCGCCACCCCCCCCUCCUCUCCCCGGAGCUCCUCGUCCUCCUCGUCUUCUCCCCGCUACGGCGGCAGACAAGGUGAAAAGAGCCUGGAUCCGUUUUUAGCAGCGUGGCUGUUGACAGGAAACGGCCCUCUGUGCUGGAGAGGCAACAUCACAGCGGUACUGACAGUGUCUCCCGUUUCCGUAAGACAGACAAACUGAACAGGAAACAACACAGCCUCCGCCUGUGGACAGAGACAGGUCUGACGAUCUAUUCACCAGAUCCUGUUUACAUUAAACAAACGUUCAGAGGCUGCUCGUCUGUCCCUGUCCAGCCCCGAGCUCCUCUCAGAGCUGAGGGAGUCCAGGACCCGCCCCCUCCGACAUGUCCCCGCCCACAACGGACUGACCCUCAUCUUCUCUGGACAGGGAGGACAGGCCUCUGCUCCCGCACUUUCCACACGACCAGCCAAUCAGAUGACUUCACACUGACUCUGUCACCACCUGGACCUCAAACCGUCACGGACUCUGCUGUCCUAUAACUAAUUCUGCUUUAAUGAUCAAUGUCCACGUCGUCUCAAACUGAACAAUACCCCUGAAACUGUAGAGGACACUGACUCUGAUUAGCAUCAGACCCUGCUGUGGGCCCCGCCCUCCUCAGGUACCGUUGCUGUCCUGUCAUGUGAUAAACAGUGUGAGAAGCUCACGCACGGCUCGGGGGGGUUUCCAGUUGGUCGGUGAUACAUGUUUUUGGGGCAAAUGGCCAAUCGUGUUUCAGUUUAUAUGUCUGCCUCCUACUGUACAACAUAUUUUCUAGUCCUCAGCCCAUCAGCGUUUGUGUGCUUAUUUUUCAUAACAGCUCCAAGUUACUGCUCUUGACACCAGAGCGGCUUUGGUUGCCUACACAAAGGUUCCAUAGUUACGGUUCAGUUCACUGUCUGACUGUCAUUGUAAUCCCCCUGAAUUAUCCUACAGCCGCCCACUGUUUCUCUGCCAAACCCGGCAACACCCCCGAGAGUUCAGGCAGCUCCCGUGUCACUGCCAUGUUGAGAAUAAUUAGGAAAGUGUGCGAUUAGUCGACUAAACGACGAACCGUUGCCGGCCUCGCUGGUCAGCUAAACGAAUGAAUAUUUGAUUCAUGUACAGCGCCGAGUAACUGUAGCAGCUAAGGCGUUAUGCGGCCGCCCGCCGCUAGCGGGGGCUGCGGCCCCGACAGACGGCAGCCUGGAUGUUGGAGACAUCUGGCAAAACCAGCGCGGUUUGACGGCAUCUUGACGGAGACAAUGAAAACAGGAUAAACCGGCAUCUAACCAACCGCCCGGAGCAACGUUAACCACGUCCAGUACAGCCCAGGAAAGGAGGCUGCUGGUCCCGCACCGCUAACUGCCGCUGGGCGUUCGGGGAUCACGUGGCAUGAAACUUGGUUUACGGGUUCGUGGUCCGUUGAGGGCUCGACUCCGUCCGUCGUCGCCUGGUCGGUCUGGUUUGUUGGGGGCGGGUUUGCAUCGUAGUGAGGAUGUUGGAGGACUGAUAAAGCCGUUGGGCAGUGGAUGGCGCUCGGGUGAACUUCUGAAUCACUUGUGUUUACAGCAGCAACAGAAACAUCCGGCGUUGCCAACGGACGGUGAAUGAACGGUGUCGCGUGUGCUGGGAAAGUCGGCCCGUACCUACCUGAGCAGGUGGUACGUUCCAGUUAGCUGCGCAGGUAAAUGCCAGUCAGUGGCCAAUGGGGAGGAGAGCAGGUGGUGCUGAUUUGAGUUUUUGGUGGCUACGGUUGAAGUUAUUUUUGUUGAAUUUCAU